CUGGAACGCGCUUCGGCGCACCCAGAAACCCUUUGUGAACUUAUACCUACUGUUGCCUCGGCGCAGGCCGGCCUUUUGUGACAAAGGCCCCCUGGAGACAGGGAGCAGCCCGCCGGCGGCCAACUAAACUCUUGUUUCUUUAGUGAAUCUCUGAGUAAAAAACAUAAAUGAAUCA
rnacentral:misc_RNA from 1 species